rnacentral:tRNA from 1 species
UAUUUAAAUAGCUUAUAAAUUUAGAGCAUAACAUUGAAGCUGUUAAGGAGGAUUUAUCCUUUAAAUAU